GAGUUUCCCAGCCAGCAGCAUCCCCGAGGACAAACAAGACGGCUGGGAACGGCCUAGGGGAAUGACAAUCCCAGCAGGAAGAGAAAAUGGAGGAGAGAGUCCCAGGAGCCCCAGGACAGGGGGCUUGUGCGUGUGGCCCAUAGCCAAGCUACGGCCCGGGAACAGCCCCUGGACACGGGCUUCAUGAAAGCCAAGGACUCGGCAUGUAUUUCUGCUGGUUCCAUGCAGAAAGUCCAUAGCAGAAGACUGUGAGGCCCAAGACUAUAUCCUGGGGUGGAAGGAAGAAUGUCAGC